UACAGAGGGUGCGAGCGUUAAUCGGAAUUACUGGGCGUAAAGCGCGCGUAGGCGGCUUUGCAAGUCGGGUGUGAAAUCCCCAGGCUUAACCUGGGAACUGCAUUCGAGACUGCAUUGCUAGAGUAUGGGAGAGGGAAGUGGAAUUUCCGGUGUAGCGGUGAAAUGCGCAGAUAUCAGGAAGAACACCAAUGGCGAAGGCAGCUCUCUGGGACGGUACUGACGCUGAGACGCGAAAGCGUGGGGAGCGAACAGG
rnacentral:rRNA from 1 species